GGGCCCGCAGGAGGGCGCGGGCGGCGGGCGGGCAUCAUGAGUGAAGCCCCCUGCAGAAAACGUGAUGACUAUUUGGAGUGGCCCGAGUAUUUCAUGGCAGUGGCCUUCUUAUCGGCACAGAGAAGCAAAGAUCCAAAUUCCCAGGUCGGAGCCUGCAUCGUGAACGCAGAAAACAAGAUUGUCGGGAUCGGGUACAAUGGGAUGCCCAACGGGUGCAGCGAUGACCUGUUGCCUUGGAGGAGGACAGCGGCCAAUAAGCUGGACACCAAAUACCCUUACGUGUGCCACGCCGAACUGAAUGCCAUCAUGAACAAAAACUCGGCCGAUGUGAAAGGCUGUACGAUCUACGUCGCCUUGUUCCCGUGUAAUGAGUGUGCUAAGCUCAUCAUCCAGGCGGGUAUCAAGGAAGUCAUUUUCAUAUCUGAUAAAUACCAUGACAGUGAUGAGACCACGGCCGCGAGGCUCAUGUUCAACAUGGCUGGGGUCGUCUUCAGGAUCCAAGAGAAAAUGUACUCUUUUGUGCUUUAGAGUGAUUCCAAGUUGGCUGAAGAAAUUUCCUAGAAAAUAAGAUAAAUCUGGAAAUUCACACCCAAGUGCAGCAAGAUUGUUGUUGACUUUGAUUCAAUUAACAGCAGACCAAGUCAGAAGCGUCCCUGAGUUACAUCUCAUUAAAUCUCCAGAAGAUUGGUGUUAUCCUCUUCUAAGAAGCUGCUAAUGCCUUUCAUCUCGAAGUUACACGUAACUUUUUGCGAGCCAGUACAGCAAAAGCAGACAUCUGGAGAAUAUAAAGCCUCACCUCUUCCUGGCUGUCUCUCCUGUCUCAUGGAAUCUGUGUCUGUAUAAACUGUGGGUUUAGGGUUUAAAAUAAAGGUGUCUGUAGAUGACCUGUCGCAUAGGACUGGAGUGGGGUGCCUGCCCCUCUUGUCUCCUGGUUUGUUGGGAUGCCACUAGCUUUUUGGAAGGGCAUCUGCCGUAUUUCACAGCUGCUCUUCACCGCCACGUGUGCUGGAAGGACAGAUAAAUAAUUGUGUUUCCAGCAGCGUGAGCAGACACACUGAUCUGAACAUCUGGUGCAAAUGAAGCAUAACGUGCAGUGUCCUUGAAAAAAAAAUAGGCCCCCCAUGACUGUAGCACCGGAGGAUUUGCUUUACAGGGUUGGGGGAACACCCCCCACCCACCCAAAGCACCCCGAUGGGGCGGCACAUCUGUCCUUGCAGAUGGUGAGUGUCACGGAGCCCGGAGUCUCUGCUUCGGCUGCCCUGCUGCCCAUGGCCGGUGGCAAGUCGUCCCUCUGAGGGUCGGGGCCCCUGUUGGUUCGCUGCUUAUCUUUGGUUUGUUGAUCACAUGGAGGGAGCUCUUGCAUUUAUCUGAAUACUGAGCUGCCCUGGAGGAGACAGCCUGCCCUGCCCUGGGGGUUGCCCUGGAGGGGCAGAUGCCCACCUGCUUCUCCCACCACCUGGAGAUGUGUUACCGCUCGCCCGUGUGCCAACAGGGUUCAUUUCCAAGGCUGCUCUACAAGCAGAGAGUCAAUUAAUUCUUUUACCCUGUAAGUGAAAUGUGGGGAAUUCAGCCUGCCUCGAGGCGGCUCCUUGCAGAUCUCUUGGCGACUAGAGCCAUUUGUGGGCCCGGCACCCAGCCUUCCUGUAUGCACACGUGCCCUUCCUCAUCGCUGGGACUGGGGAAUGUGUGGCUGUGCACCUUUAAUCUCAUUUCAUUUUUAUUAAACACGCUCCACACCUUUGUUGAGAAAGCAGUUUCUUUAUCCUAGAGAUUAUGACUGUUUUAAAGUGCUCUUGCAUUUUCACGAGUUUUUAUUUUGUCUCUGACGUUUUGUACUCCAUAUUCUAGGGCAUUUUGUAAUUUGGCUUCUUACCAAUAUUGUUAAAAUCUUAUUAAAAUCUACCACACUGAA